GGAUGGCAACAAAGCAACAAAGACAAUUACUUAGCAGUCCAGGUGUCCUUUAAAGUGCAAAGUAGACAAGAGACAAUUGUUGAACUUCAUUUUGAUCCAUCGCAACCACAAGAAGUAAAGGAUGAUAAAGAAGACUAAAUUAGAUCGAGUUUGCCCUUACUUGUUUAUAUACGUCUUAAGAAAACGUACGUUUUAAGGAAAGAAAAGGAAGAAACAUCCACAUCUACAUGUACACCAUUCACAAAACAUAUUUACAGUUUACACAUACACACGGAUGAUGUUUGUGACAUGGUACUGUAGCAGGUUCAUACUUAAAAUAUAAGAUUGGAUGGACCAUGGCUCUGAGUUUAUUACUGGGGGUAGCUUUAUAGCUAUAAUUGAUAUCUCUGACAGAAUAUACAUGUGAGCUUCAAUUAAGAGAGCUACUCGCAAGCAUGCGUCGUAUCUACGGAGUUUAGUAAAUGCAACACCCGAUGAUUUACGAAUGUUUUAUGUCCUCGACAGAACAAAAAAUUCAAUGUUACCUAGCAUAAAGGAUGCAUGUUGAUGUUCGAUUUUUUCUUUUUUAACAAUGUCACUGUUAGUCUGUUCGUAAUUUCAACUCUAUUUUACAGACGCAGCAUUGGUCUUGUGACCUAUGUGGCCAUUUUAAGCGUGCUCUUAGUCAGAAACAAGUGAUACCGUCACUCUCGCGUUACAGCAAAAAGAGAAUUUCAUAUUCGAUAUAAAUGCAUGUACAAAAAAUUAAAUGACAUUGAAAAUGGAUUAUGCAAACAAAUAUAAAAAUGUGAAUUACAUUAUUUAAUAAAUAUGACUAUAAUAUGUAUCUUCUUUCGAUCAGUUCUAGGACUAGGAAAAAAUGCUAGUUAAUAUCUAAACUUAAAAAAUAAAGGGAAACUGUAGGAAACAUUUCUCACGGUUCCCAUAACUGCUACGGGCGACGCUAGGCCAGUUCUUGUGUGUCGCUUAAUCAUAAGAUGUAACGAAAACUAGCAAACACUUCCAGUACGCGACAACCUGCAUUCAUAUGUUUUAUCGAACUUGUAAAGGGGAUCAGUUGUAUGUACAAAGUUAACUUAUAUUAUUAUUGACGAUCGUAUUUUGUCCUUGUUAUUAAAAAUAGUUCGAUCUCACGGUAUAUUUACAAAAUUGCGGUAUAUUUACUUCGCAUGUCGAUCUGUAAGAACCAACAUAGUUUCGCGAUUAUUUAUGACAAGUAAGAACACAUUUGAAAUAUAUACUUGGAUAGUUUGUAGUAUAUACAGUUUGUUUCUACGAAGUGUUGUAAACGGUACAUUUAGCGGUGUGUUUAGCUCAUAAAUUUGAUAGAUGCGAAUUACGGUUAAUACAUAAAAAAAAAUACGAAAUUCAAUUGUGGUAAAUAUUUAUUGAGUUCUCCCACAAUUGUACAUUGUACCUUAAUCCUACGAUGCUUCUAUUCUGUUUGUAUAAUUACUUUCUGCGCACUUUACAUAAGUAAUAUAUAUCUUAAUAGGAUCUUUCAUCAUUUGAGAUAUUGUGUAAGGAAUCAGAAAAUAUAUAUCAUAGAUAGACUGAUUUAUCAUGUAAAAUGUGGAUGUUUAUUGCGGAAAAUUUGUUACGUAAAUGUUAACACUGUUCAAAAGUUUUUGAUUUGUAUUGAAUCACUUUUUUUCAUAAUCUUGUAUUUCUACGCUAAUUAUGAUUUUAUAUACCAUGACAAAAUAAAAUGCAUUUUACUUUAUAAGCGAUGUUAUGACUUAAGAAAAAUUGAAUCCACAUUUAGUGAUAUCAAAUAAAACUUCCAAUUUCCAAUUGAUGUUAGCAUAUUAAGCAUUAAGUAAAAAAUGGACAGACUUAUAUAUACAUUUCGUAACAAUACAUAUAUUAA